rnacentral:lncRNA from 1 species
UUCAUGAUUGAUGCGAGGGAUGAUUAGAUCGAUCCAUGGAAGCUAAUGAUUUGGGGUUUAGGAUGUCAUGGAGUGAAUCCAGGUGCCAUAAGGAGUAAGAAUUGUAGAACCAGAGAUCUAUAUAAGAAGGGGGUUGGGACCGGCUGGGAACAAUGCACACAAUUAGAGGUGAAGCAAUUCAGGUGGAGAGAUCACGGCAAGAGUGGUAUGGUUCAGAAUUUAAUUCUUGACAUUAUGAUUUACUAAUUCAAUAAUU